rnacentral:rRNA from 1 species
UGCCAGCCGCCGCGGUAAUACGAAGGUCCCAAGCGUUGUUCGGAAUCACUGGGCGUAAGGCGUGUGUAGGCUGCGCGGAAAGUCAAAUGUGAAAGCCCGGGGCUCAACCCCGGAACUGCCUUUAAAACUACUAGUCUAGAGUUCGAGAGAGGUGAGUGGAAUUCCAAGUGUAGAGGUGAAAUUCGUAGAUAUUUGGAAGAACACCAGUGGCGAAGGCGGCUCACUGGCUCGAUACUGACGCUGAGGUGCGAAAGUGUGGGGAGCAAACAGGAUUAGAUA